GAUGAAGAACGUAGCGAAAUGCGAUAAGUAGUGUGAAUUGCAGAAUUCAGUGAAUCAUCGAAUCUUUGAACGCACAUUGCGCCCCUUGGUAUUCCAUGGGGCAUGCCUGUUCGAGCGUCAUUUGUACCUUCAAGCUCUGCUUGGUGUUGGGUGUUUGUCUCGCCUUUGCGUGUAGACUCGCCUCAAAACAAUUGGCAGCCGGCGUAUUGAUUUCGGAGCGCAGUACAUCUCGCGCUUUGCACUCAUAACGACGACGUCCAAAAAGUACAUUUUUACACUCUUGACCUCGGAUCAGGUAGGGAUACCCGCUGAACUUAAGCAUAUCAAUAAGCGGAGGA
rnacentral:misc_RNA from 1 species